CAGUUUCUUAGAGAUGUUGGAGAAGAUGAUAGAGCAGCUAAGCAUAUGCGGAUAGGACCAAGUAAACAUCAAAAUGGUAUCUAGGUUGACAAGGUUUCACUGAAGAUAUCCUUUUUUACUUUAUGGCUGCUACGAUUAUGGCGCAAAAGCUAACUCUAGCACGAAGAUGGCAGUUAAAGUCACAGCACUCAGAUUACAUCAUUUUCUCACUGAACCUUCAAGUUUGGAGACGAUGAUGGCAUGGGAGCAGAAGUUCUCCUAAAAUAG